AAUUAUUGCCUCUUUUAAAAAUAUUUCUACCUCACGCACAUUAAAGAUAAGUUCAUAUUCUAUAAAUAUACACACUGUAAAGCCUUCCAGAAAUCAAUUUCGCCUCAUUUUCUCUAUGCUUUAUUCGCUCACCUCAUGAAUUUCGCUGCAUGUCCCAUUUCACAAGCACUUGCCGAUGUUUCUUUCCAACGUUUACAAUUUCUGUACCCCACUGUGAUUCAGUUGAAGUCUCUGUGUCUCUAUCCUUCAAAUAUCCACUCUGAUGUCCCCGGAAACCAGUCUCGCCUCAUUUGCGCAAUGCUUUCGUCAUCCCCGUCAUGCAUUUUUCUGCUGCACCCAUUUCUAAAGUCUUUGCCUAUGUUAAAAAUAUUUCUACCCCACUUAGACUCAAUUUUGGUCACCAUUUUAUAAAUAGAUAUUCUGAAGCUUUUCAGAAAUCAGUUUCACCUCAUUUCCUCCACGCUUUCAUCACUCAUCUCACACAUUUCCCUGGGUUGUCGAUUCCACAGCACUUGCCGAUGUUUCUUUCUAAUGUUGAGAAUAUUUCUACCCCACCAAGAUUUAACAGUAUCCCAUAAAUAGACACCCUGAAGCAAUCUAGAAACCGAUUUCACCUCAUUCAUUUUUUAUUCACAUAAUGGCCACGUCUUGAAAACGCUCGUCCUUUCCGGAGCACUUUGCGAAAUUUCUUUCCAAUGUGAAGAAUAUUUCUACCUGACUGAGAUACAAUCUCCUUACUCCAUAUACUCACUCCAUAUACUGUCACAAACACCCCUAGACAAUCUCGAAAUCAGUUUCACCUCAUUUGCUCAAUCCUUUCAUCACGCAUCUCAUGCAUUUCACCGAAUGGCCCAUUUCCGAUGCACAUGUCAAUGUUUCUUACCAAUUUUAAAAAUAUUUCUACUCCACUUAUUCUCAUGCUAACUGCAUAUCCUAUAACUAGACAUUGUCGAGCAUUCCAGAAACAAAUUUCAUGUCGUUUCAUUCGUUUCACCCCUCAGCUUGCACUUUCAAGGGUGCGUCACGCCUCCGAACCAUCCGCUCCUCAGCACCUUUCCAAUUUUACAGAUAUUUCUACCUCACACAGAUUUAAGGAUUCCAUUUGUGCAGCCCAAGUCUAUAAAAGAGAGAGGUCAAACAACAGCAAUGAUGCCUGAGGUGCCUGUUUGCCCCACAUGAACACCAACAGUGUAAAACUAUCAACUUUGAGGACUACGAAUCAGUCAAGAUUAUUCGUAAUAGUGAAAGCGGCACACUUCAUCGGGUGACACCUCUAGAGUGAACACCGCAAAUUAUAGGACUUCAUAUGUUCCUGUCAUCCACUACAAUGGUCCAAGUGUUUCACAAUGUAGGCAACGUGCAAGAAAAAAAAUGACCUUUGGCGGCCUGCAAAGGCGUGACAGUUAGUCAGUUGUAACGGCAGUGGCCACGCGUGGAGCCAGAAAUGUGCGCUCGCUUGUACAUUCCAUCACUGCCAGUCAGAACUCAUGUUGAGGAAGCCAUCUCCUCCUGAUGGUCCUGAGGUUGAGGAAGUCUCCUCUACUAGAGGAGUAAGAACACACCAUGUGACGCCAUCGAGAACAUUCCACCUCUCCAGCAUCCUUUCCGUCCUGUGCGAGUAUCACCGUCUCUGUCGUGAGAAACACUAUAGGGGCACAGAGUCUUGGUAGCACCCAUCUAAGCCCUACACAGCCACAUCCCCCAUUCCCUGACACACUUCCUUUGCCAGCAGCAACAUUAGCAAGGGUGAAGCAAGUUCCUUAACUGGCUUAAAACUGUACUACAAUGCAACUUCAGCUACUGUGCAAUAAAUCCUCGACUCCAAUGACUAACGCGUCUAUCUACAAGACAACUUUAGCCCCACACCAUUACAUUGUUGAUUGGUAUGAGUUAAGGAAUCCUAAUUGAAUUUUUUAGUGUACCGGAUUCAGUGUGCAGAGAAACUGUUGUCUAAGAUUGUGAAAUGUAAAAACAUGUGUAUAGUUCAAAAUAAAUGAUAUACAAUGUGAAAA